UACGUAGGGUGCAAGCGUUAAUCGGAAUUACUGGGCGUAAAGCGUGCGCAGGCGGUUAUGUAAGACAGAUGUGAAAUGCCCGGGCUCAACCUGGGAACUGCAUUUGUGACUGCAUGGCUAGAGUUUGGCAGAGGGGGGUAGAAUUCCACGUGUAGCAGUGAAAUGCGUAGAGAUGUGGAGGAAUACCGAUGGCGAAGGCAGCCCCCUGGGUCAAGACUGACGCUCAUGCACGAAAGCGUGGGGAGCAAACAGG
rnacentral:rRNA from 1 species